CCUACGGGAGGCAGCAGUGAGGAAUAUUGGUCAAUGGCCGGAAGGCUGAACCAGCCAAGUCGCGUGAAGGAAGAAGGAUCUAUGGGUUGUAAACCUCUUGUAUAGGGGAAUAAAGGGAUGCACGUGUGGAGAUUUGCAUGUACCCGAUGAAUAAGCAUCGGCUAACUCCGUGCCAGCAGCCGCGGUAAUACGGAGGAUGCGAGCGUUAUCCGGAUUUAUUGGGGUUAACGGGUGCGUAGGUUGUUUUUUAAGUCAGCGGUGAAAGUUUGUGGCUCAACCCUAAAAUUGCCGUUGAAACUGGCAGCCUUGAGUGUGUUUGCGGUAGGCGGACUUCGUGGUGUAGCGGU
rnacentral:rRNA from 1 species